AAAUAGUUCAAUUCUAUUACAUAUUAACUUAGUGUUCCCAGACUCGGAAUAUGAAUUUUUGUGCUCAUGCCCGACUAUUGUUCCUGCUGGUAAUUUCAUUACUGAUGCUGCUGCAAGCUAUAGAUUUGGUUGCAUGUCAUGAAGGAAGAAGAGGAGAAGGAGCAGCAAAAAGAUUCGUGGAACAAUUGGAGCAAUAUCCCAAAGAAUAAUGAGGUUUUCUGCACAAAGCUCAGAAUAUACAUGGAUAUAUAUUGUGUAUAACAUUAUUCGAAAUGUAUCUGAUGAGCAAUAAAUAAAAGCAGUAUCGAAAUAAA